rnacentral:rRNA from 1 species
UACGUAGGGUGCAAGCGUUAAUCGGAAUUACUGGGCGUAAAGCGUGCGCAGGCGGUUUUGUAAGUCGGGGGUGAAAGCCCGAGGCUCAACCUCGGAACUGCCUUCGAUACUGCGGGUCUCGAGUCCGGGAGAGGUGAGUGGAAUUCCGGGUGUAGUGGUGGAAUGCGUAGAGAUCCGGAGGAACACCAGUGGCGAAGGCGGCUGCCUGGGCCCGACCUGACGCUGAGGCGCGAAAGCGUGGGGAGCGAUCCGG